rnacentral:rRNA from 1 species
AUUGAACGCUGGCGGCAGGCCUAACACAUGCAAGUCGAGCGGAUGAAGGGAGCUUGCUCCUGGAUUCAGCGGCGGACGGGUGAGUAAUGCCUAGGAAUCUGCCUGGUAGUGGGGGAUAACGUCCGGAAACGGGCGCUAAUACCGCAUACGUCCCGAGGGAGAAAGUGGGGGAUCUUCGGACCUCACGCUAUCAGAUGAGCCUAGGUCGGAUUAGCUAGUUGGUGGGGUAAAGGCCUACCAAGGCGACGAUCCGUAACUGGUCUGAGAGGAUGAUCAGUCACACUGGAACUGAGACACGGUCCAGACUCCUACGGGAGGCAGCAGUGGGGAACAUUGGACAAUGGGCGAAAGCCUGAUCCAGCCAUGCCGCGUGUGUGAAGAAGGUCUUCGGAUUGUAAAGCACUUUAAGUUGGGAGGAAGGGCAGUAAGUUAAUACCUUGCUGUUUUGACGUUACCAACAGAAUAAGCACCGGCUAACUUCGUG